rnacentral:tRNA from 1 species
AGGGUUUUAGUUUAAUUAAAAUAUCUGUGUUGCAAUCAGAAGAUGUGGGUUNACUGCAAAUCCUC